GGCAAGAUUGUCCAAAGCCGAGACUUAGUGUAGAAUGCCAUCGUAGAGUACGACGCCCGAGUACAGGUACUCGCGGAGUGCGAAUAUGGAUCAGCCGAGUGAGUUUGUUGGCAGUAGCACUUGGGCAUUGCGAAGUGUGAAGCGUGCCUUGUGUAACAUAUGGCAUCCUGGAGCUGCGAUGUAAACUUUGAUCUAUUGGAUCAAAGUGAGAAUUGAGCUGGUUGGACGUCAUCCCCGAGUGACUUUGGACGCGUGAGAAUGAAUUCCGAUGAUAAGUAAGUGUUUCGGCGCAAAGUGGGCGCGAAACNGGUAUACCAUUUGGGUUCAUGUAUCAUCUAUUUCGAUGUACAGAGACAUGUAAAUGAAUGUAUUAUAAAGCAUGUAACUAGCUAAAUGUUUCAGUUAUACAGUUCAGUUUGAAAGUUUUAAGUUACAGUGAAUUUCAUUGUACAGUUAGUUUACUAUCACUUGUGUUUGUUGCUUGCCUUCGUGCAAGCCAUGUAUAUUGAAAUGUGAUCCUGGGAAUUAUUUAUUUCUUUAUACAUGUACUCGUUGUUGUUGAGCCUUGGGCGAACAGGGGAGGUGCUGUUCGUUCGGCGUCUGUGCGCGGGCCCAGAUCGACCAAAUUGGCGACCGCGGGACGUGACACCUUGGAUCACUCGUGGGGCUGGUGGCUCACACUAGGUGCAUAGGAGCCGAUAGUGGUACGUAUUGCUC
rnacentral:lncRNA from 1 species